UAAUACGUAGGGCGCAAGCGUUAUCCGGAAUUAUUGGGCGUAAAGAGCUCGUAGGCGGUUUGUCGCGUCUGCUGUGAAAUCUGGGGGCUCAACCCCCAGCCUGCAGUGGGUACGGGCAGACUAGAGUGCGGUAGGGGAGAUUGGAAUUCCUGGUGUAGCGGUGGAAUGCGCAGAUAUCAGGAGGAACACCGAUGGCGAAGGCAGAUCUCUGGGCCGUAACUGACGCUGAGGAGCGAAAGGGUGGGGAGCAAACAGGCUUAGAUACCCUGGUAGUCCACCCCGUAAACGUUGGGAACUAGUUGUGGGGUCCAUUCCACGGAUUCCGUGACGCAGCUAACGCAUUAAGUUCCCCGCCUGGGGAGUACGGCCGCAAGGCUAAAACUUAAAGGAAUUGACGG
rnacentral:rRNA from 1 species